UACGGGGGAGCAAGCGUUGUUCGGAUUUACUGGCGUAAAGGGCGCGUAGGCGGCCACCGCAAGUCGGUUGUGAAUCUCUGGGCUUAACCCAGAAAGGUCAACCGAUACUGCGGGGCUAGAGUGCAGAAGGGGCAACUGGAAUUCUCGGUGUAGCGGUGAAAUGCGUAGAUAUCGAGAGGAACACCUGCGGCGAAGGCGGGUUGCUGGGCUGACACUGACGCUGAAGCGCGAAAGCUAGGGGAGCGAACGGG
rnacentral:rRNA from 1 species